rfam:Strigamia maritima strain Brora ctg7180001229759, whole genome shotgun sequence.
UAGUCCUAGUGGCUAGGAUACCUGGCUUUCAUCCUGGAGGCCCGGGUUCAAUUCCCGG